CACUAUGCUUAGCCCUAAACUUAGAUAGUUAACUUAAACAAAACUAUCCGCCAGAGAACUACUAGCAACAGCUUAAAACUCAAAGGACUUGGCGGUGCUUUAUAUCCCUCUAGAGGAGCCUGUUCUAUAAUCGAUAAACCCCGAUACACCUCACCAUCCCUUGCUAAUUCAGCCUAUAUACCGCCAUCUUCAGCAAACCCUAAAAAGGAAGAAAAGUAAGCACAAGUAUCUUAACACAAAAAAGUUAGGUCAAGGUGUAGCCCAUGAGAUGGGAAGCAAUGGGCUACAUUUUCUAGAACUAGAACACCCACGAAAAUCCUUAUGAAACUAAGUAUUAAAGGAGGAUUUAGUAGUAAAUUUGAGAAUAGAGAGCUCAAUUGAAUUGGGCCAUGAAGCACGC
rnacentral:rRNA from 1 species